rnacentral:lncRNA from 1 species
AAUCUUUUCUUCACUAAUACUUCCAUCAACUUCCAAAGAAAGCCUUAAGGCUUCAAAUGACGCAGUUUUGAUCGCGCCGUGAAUUUGAAGGCAUUUCUUAAAUCACCUUCAACUGACCUUUAAAGAUGGCUUUUAAAACAUUUUAAUCCAUCUACGACUGGACUUUAAAAGUAUUGUUUAGGUUCUAUUUAUAGCAUUACGUUUGAACAAUAAUCUAAAAAGCUGCCCUUCAAUUUAAGACUUUAAAAUUCCAUACUUUGCAGUCCUGUCUCGGCAACUCCUUUUAAAAUUAGCUUUCUCACUCCAUGAAGAAGCUUCAGCUCUUAACCUCCGUCAUGUUCUAAUAUUAUCUUUUUUCUUCUUUCUUUCUCAUACUAUUUUUUAAGGACGUCUCCAUUUUCCCCUAAAAUAAGACCUUCCUAUUAAUUAUCAGAUCUACUCUCACGAAUUUAACUCAAAACUACAGCUCAGUAUUUUCGCUAAUUUAUAAUUCCUAGAGAAUAAGAGUAAUCCCUAUCUUAACAGAAAAACUUAUCUGCGGUCUCCUCAAGAAGCGUUUCCUGCCUCUCAGCCGUCUCUGCGCUCGCUGCCUCAAUGCCUGCCUCCCGACCCGCAGCGCGCGGCGUAUUUAUAGCCCAAGGACACCUCACACCCCCGUCAUCCAAUAACCCUCCGCCGCCUUUGUGAGGGAAGCAAAAAUAGUUCCUCGGAAGGAGUUAAAAAUAGAAUCUGGUUUAUAAGACUCUAGGUUUUUCCUUAACAGUUUAUAUAACUUGCUCGCAAACUCUGUACCCAGAUGUUUAAGUAGAUUUGAACUGAAAACUUGAGUAAAAACAAUGGAAACCACGUUUAAACAGACCAUCAAACAGCUGACAAAAACUCAGAAUUACUUGGAAAUGUUUUAGUAGCUUUUAAAAUACCUUCUGUGUUUCCUUGGAGUACAGUAGGUACAAUUUAGUGCUUUGGAGGCUAGGAAAGUAAAACUAAGUUUGCUGAUGGCCUUCAUUUCCAUUAUGUAACCGAGCUUCAGCCUCACAAAUAGAGCGGAGCCAUCUUAGAAGGACCGAAGGGUGGGAGUUUCGCCCCCAUGGGCCGCAGGUCCUGAGGAUUAUACCACACCGUCUUGAUUGCCAUUUUAUUCGUGAGAUCCGAUCAGCCCAGGUGAUCUAUGUAAGAAUUGGACUAAAUGUGGAAAUCCACUUCUGGAAAAUGUCUGACAGCCACUCUUUACCACUGUUGCCUGCAACAGAGCUGGUCACGCAUCGCAAGGGAUUAGGACCAAAAUUGAGGCAUCCAGCACCCCGUGUUUCCCACCUGGGUGGAAAAGCGGAGGGAAGCGCCAGGGCGGAACUGGCUGCUGUGUCUCAAGGACUCUAGGAGAAGCCUCGGUCCCCGGGGCGGCAAAGGGGACCCGAGUGAGGCUUGAGGACUUAGAAAUGACAAUGGCGCCAGGGAGCGUCCCAGAUACCGGCUUCCAAGCGGCUAAAGCGGCUGAGGCGCGAAGAAGAAGCAGGUGAGAGGCCGAGCGGGGUGGGCGCGAGCCCCCGGGGCCGAGGGGGUGGGGGACGGGUUUCCCGGCCCAGCGCUGCCCGCGGCCGCAGAAAAGGGAGAAGCGGU